GAUGAAGAACGUAGCGAAAUGCGAUAAGUAAUGUGAAUUGCAGAAUUCAGUGAAUCAUCGAAUCUUUGAACGCACAUUGCGCCCUCUGGUAUUCCGGGGGCAUGCCUGUUCGAGCGUCAUUAUAACCACUCAAGCUCUCGCUUGGUAUUGGGGUUCGCGGUUUCGCGGCCCCUAAAAUCAGUGGCGGUGCCUGUCGGCUCUACGCGUAGUAAUACUUCUCGCGAUUGAGUUCGAUAGGUCUACUUGCCAGUAACCCCCAAUUUUUACAGGUUGACCUCGGAUCAGGUAGGGAUACCCGCUGAACUUAAGCAUAUCAAUAAGCGGAGGA
rnacentral:misc_RNA from 1 species